rnacentral:rRNA from 2 species
UAUCACUAAGCGGAGGAAAAGAAACUAACCAGGAUUCCCCUAGUAACGGCGAGUGAACGGGGAACAGCCCAGCACCGAAGCCUGUGUCCUUUUGGAUGCUAGGCACUGUGGUGUUUAGGUGGUGACAUGUCGGCUCAUCUGCUGCCCCAAGUCCAGUAAUGAAUAUGGCUCUUAUAUUGGCCCAGAGAGGGUGAAAGGCCCGUGGGGGUGGUUACGGUGAGUUGACUAGUUCCGCCUUGGAGUCGGGUUGUUUGUGAAUGCAGCCCAAAGUGGGUGGUAGACUCCAUCUAAGGCUAAAUACUGGCACGAGUCCGAUAGCGAACAAGUACCGUGAGGGAAAGUUGAAAAGUACUCUGAAGAGAGAGUAAACAGUGCGUGAAACCGCUGAGAGGUAAACGGGUGUAGUCAAGCUGCAAGCCCUGGGGAUUCAGCCGAUCAGUGUGACGUGUUUGCAUGAGCACACUUUUGGUCUGUUUCGGUUCACCUAGACUGGUGGGCUCGGCUCUUGUGGGUCGAGUGCUUGGGUAUCAAAUGGAUACUGAGCGCCGUGCAGGAUCCGAAUGCUGGUCGGUGCACUUCCUCAGGGUGUAAGCCACGACCGCCGUAGCUGCCGGUCUGCCGGGAUCAACCGGCUUGGUGGGGCCGUAUGGCUCAUCCAGGUCGGGAUGGCAGGUGGUCUGGUGUGUGCGUUCGCGUGCACGCCGGGUGUUAUAGCCGAUCCUUGUGCGGUUCAUAAACUGUGCAGUGCGGUGGAGAUAUCGACGUGUUGGCAAUGGCUUGCGUACUAAAGUCUGCCGGCGUGUUCAACGUCUGGCUGCCUGUAGCCGGUGAAAAAUUCGGCCUGGCGGCGGCUUGUUCACGGUGUAGCGGGCGGUGGCGUGAGCUGGCCAUCGGCCUUGUGCCGGUUCGUCGUCUAUAGUCUGUGGCGUAGUGGUAGACGAUCCACCUCGACCUCAU